rnacentral:tRNA from 1 species
AGGGGAGUAGCUCAAUUGGCAGAGCACUGGUCUCCAAAACCAGGGGCUGCAGGUUCGAUUCCUGUCUCCCCUG